rnacentral:lncRNA from 1 species
UUCACAAAAGCCUUUCUUGAUCGUCACUUUAGGCUUCCCUUUGUGUAGUUUUGGCCCAUAGGUUUGAUUAGGCUCCCUAAGCCUAUGAUUGCAAGUGUUCCACCAAAUCUGCCCCAUAUGAGUUGAAACACGCCCCAAAUGCAUAUGGAUGAUAUGGAUAUGAUUUUGAACUCCUUUUAGAUCCAUUUGAAUGAUAUAAGUUUGCUCCACACUAUUGUUAGAAAUCUGCCCUAUU